GAUGAACGCUGGCGGCGUGCCUAAUACAUGCAAGUCGAGCGAACGGACGAGAAGCUUGCUUCUCUGAUGUUAGCGGCGGACGGGUGAGUAACACGUGGAUAACCUACCUAUAAGACUGGGAUAACUUCGGGAAACCGGAGCUAAUACCGGAUAAUAUUUUGAACCGCAUGGUUCAAAAGUGAAAGACGGUCUUGCUGUCACUUAUAGAUGGAUCCGCGCUGCAUUAGCUAGUUGGUCAGGUAACGGCUUACCAAGGCAACUAUGCGUAGCCGACCGAAGAGGGUGAUCGGCCACCUGGGAACGUAGACACGGACAAUAGUCCUACGGGAGGCAGCAGUAGGGAAUCGGACGCAGUGGUCGAAAGCAUUACGGAGCAAGGGCGAGUGAGUUAUGAAGGUCUUCGGAUCGUAAUACCCUGUUAUGAGGGAUGAACAUAUGUGGAAGGAACUGAGGACAGCUUGACGGUACCUAGUCAGAAAGCCACGGCUAACUACGUG
rnacentral:rRNA from 1 species